AUUAAAGACUUCUAGAUUUCAAUGAAAAGGAUGAUAAAGCAUAUCCAAACUUAUGGGACACAAUUAAAGCAGUGCUAAGAGGAAAAUUUAUAGCACUAAGUGCCCUCUUAAAGAAAUUGGAGAGAUCCUAUACUAACAACUUAACAGCACACUUGAAAACCCUAGAACAAAAAGGAGCAAACAUACCCAAGAGGAGACAGCAGAAAAUUGUCAAACUCAGAGCUGAAAUCAACCAAACAAAGAAAACAAUACAAAGAAUCAACAAAACCAAAAGCUGGUUCUUUGCAAAAAUCAACAAGAUAGAGAAAAUUUAGAUUAGACUUAGCCAAACUAAAUAAAGGGCACAGGGAUACAUCCAAAUUUCAAAAUCAGAAAUGAAAAGGGAGACAUAACAACAGAAACUGAGGAAAUUUAAAAAAAAAAAAA
rnacentral:lncRNA from 1 species